rnacentral:lncRNA from 15 species
AUGUUUGAUCUGCUCCUCUAUAUCCUCCUCUUCCUCCUCUUUUUACUCCCUUUCUCUUUCCUCUUUUUAUCCAUUUGUCCUCUUCUACCCUUUUUCCUUCUUCCUUCAUCUCUAUCCUUCUCCUCCUUUCUUGUCCUUUCUGCUCCUCAUCCUUUCCUCUUUCUUUCCUCUUGUAUCUUCCUCCUUUUCAUCAUCUCCUCAUUUUUUCUUCCUCCUCCAUACCUUGGCCUCCUCCUCCUCUCUACUUCUCACAUCCUUCUUUUACUCAAUUUCUUGUCAUUUAACCCUCCAUCUCUCCUUUUUCCUGCUCCUUCUCCUCCUUUCUUCCUUACUUUUCCAUAUUUUGCUCCAUCUGUUCAUCCUCUCCUCUCAUCUUCCACUUUCAUUCUCUCCAUUCCUCCUCUUCCUCCUACUUCUUUGCUUAUCUUUAUCUCCUCCUCUCUACUUUUUUCCUUCAUCCCUUCUCUUUCUCCUCAUACACCAGCCUCCUCUUCCAUAUUUUGGUCCACUCCUCUCGUUCUCGCCUCCUCCUCCCUCUUUUCCUCAUCCUCCUUUUAUUCAAUCUUGUCAUUCUCACCUUUUUCCUGCUCCUUCUCCUCCUAUCAUUCCUCCUUUUCCAUAUUAAAUUCCAUCUGUUUAUCACCUUCUUUCCUCUCCUUACUUGUCAUCUCCUCUCCCCCUUUCUCUCCUCUCUCCUCCUUCACCAGACUCCGUUUUUUCUUGUUUUCCUUGUCCUCCUUUCUUCCUCUCUUCCAUAUUUUGGUCCACUCCUCUCCUUGUUUCCUCUCUUGUCCUCGCCUCCUCCUCCUCCUCCACCUCCACCUCCUCCUCCCUCUUUCCGAUCUCACAUCCUUCUUUUAUUCAAUCUUCUUGUCAUUUACCCCUCCCUCUCUCCUCCCUCCCUCCCUCCCUCCCUCUCUCUCUCUCUCUCUCUCUCCUUCUUCUUCCACCUGGUCUUAUCUCUCUAUUUAUUGUGACAGCUUGUCAAAGGUGUGUGUGUGUGUGUGCGUGUGUGUGUGUGUGUGUGUCAGAGACGAAAAAAGGAAGAAGGGGGGGAAAAAAAAAAAGAGCAACCGACAGAUUUACAGUUUAGAGCGAGCGGCAUCCACAAAACUGCAAUAUCAAAGAGAGGGAGAGGAGGAGGUCAGAGGCGAAGGAGGAGAUGAAAGGAGAACAGAGAGGAGGAGCAGAGAGAGGGUAAAGAGAGGGCAGCCGGGGGGGAUGACAGGUGAUGUGUGUGUUUGCUUGUGUGUGUGUGUGUGUGUGUGUUUUCCUACAGACAACAUGUUAUUAAUAAAAACAGGAAGGAAACAUUUUUUAAUUAUCCAUUUUUAA